rnacentral:tRNA from 1 species
AGGGUAAUAGUUAAAUUAACAUUUGAUUUGCAUUCAAAAGAUAUUGAUAAAAUCAAUUUACCUUA